rnacentral:rRNA from 1 species
GUGUCAGCAGCCGCGGUAAUACGAAGGUCCCAAGCGUUAUCCGGAUUUAUUGGGUUUAAAGGGUGCGUAGGCGGCUUAUUAAGUCAGUGGUGAAAGCCCCAAGCUUAACUUGGGAACUGCCAUUGAUACUGAUGAGCUUGAGUAGAUUUGAGGCGGGCGGAAUGUGUCGUGUAGCGGUGAAAUGCUUAGAUAUGACACAGAACACCAAUUGCGUAGGCAGCUCGCUAAACUCUUACUGACGCUGAGGCACGAAAGCAUGGGGAUCAAACAGGAUUAGAUACCCCCGUAGUCC